rnacentral:rRNA from 1 species
GCUAUACAUGCAAGUCGAGCGGACCGACGGGAGCUUGCUCCCUUAGGUCAGCGGCGGACGGGUGAGUAACACGUGGGUAACCUGCCUGUAAGACUGGGAUAACUCCGGGAAACCGGGGCUAAUACCGGAUGCUUGAUUGAACCGCAUGGUUCAAUCAUAAAAGGUGGCUUUUAGCUACCACUUACAGAUGGACCCGCGGCGCAUUAGCUAGUUGGUGAGGUAACGGCUCACCAAGGCGACGAUGCGUAGCCGACCUGAGAGGGUGAUCGGCCACACUGGGACUGAGACACGGCCCAGACUCCUACGGGAGGCAGCAGUAGGGAAUCUUCCGCAAUGGACGAAAGUCUGACGGAGCAACGCCGCGUGAGUGAUGAAGGUUUUCGGAUCGUAAAACUCUGUUGUUAGGGAAGAACAAGUACCGUUCGAAUAGGGCGGUACCUUGACGGUACCUAACCAGAAAGCCACGGCUAACUACGUGCCAGCAGCCGCGGUAAUACGUAGGUGGCAAGCGUUGUCCGGAAUUAUUGGGCGUAAAGCGCGCGCAGGCGGUUUCUUAAGUCUGAUGUGAAAGCCCCCGGCUCAACCGGGGAGGGUCAUUGGAAACUGGGGAACUUGAGUGCAGAAGAGGAGAGUGGAAUUCCACGUGUAGCGGUGAAAUGCGUAGAGAUGUGGAGGAACACCAGUGGCGAAGGCGACUCUCUGGUCUGUAACUGACGCUGAGGCGCGAAAGCGUGGGGAGCGAACAGGAUUAGAUACCCUGGUAGUCCACGCCGUAAACGAUGAGUGCUAAGUGUUAGA